rnacentral:rRNA from 1 species
GGAUCAAUUGAUUGGUCAUGCCUACGGUAUGUACUAGUCAUAUUGGUUCUCACCUUCUAAUGAACCUUAAUGUCAUUCACUUGAUGUUUUGGGGAAUUAGGACUGUUACCUUGAAAAAAUUAGAGUGUUUAAAGCAGGCUUACGCUUGAAUACUUCAGCAUGGGAUAAUGGAACAGGACU